rnacentral:rRNA from 1 species
UAAGACGUAGGGUGCAAGCGUUGUCCGGAUUUAUUGGGCGUAAAGAGUUCGUAGGCGGUUGCCUAAGUCUGGUGUUAAAGCCCGGAGCUCAACUCCGGCAUGGCAUUGGAAACUGGGUGGCUAGAGUGUGGUAGAGGUCACGGGAAUUCCUGGUGUAGCGGUGAAAUGCGUAGAUAUCAGGAGGAACACCGGUGGCGAAAGCGCGUGACUGGGCCACAACUGACGCUGAGGAACGAAAGCCAGGGGAGCAAAAGGGAUUAGAUACCCCUGUAGUCCUGGCCGUAAACGAUGGAUACUAGGUGUUGGAGGAUUCGACCCCCUCAGUGCCGUAGCUAACGCGAUAAGUAUCCCGCCUGGGGAGUACGACCGCAAGGUUG